CGGCCCCCAUUUGAUGACACCUUCUUUGGAGGAAGACCAUUGCAACCUGAGAUGGUGGGCAACAGAGAAUUCAUCCCCAUCUUUCAGGCUGACAAUGUGACAUUACAG